GGAUUAGAUACCCUGGUAGUCCACGCCGUAAACGAUGUCUACUAGCCGUUGGGGAACUUGAGUCCUUGGUGGCGCAGCUAACGCACUAAGUAGACCGCCUGGGGAGUACGGCCGCAAGGUUAAAACUCAAAUGAAUUGACGGGGGCCCGCACAAGCGGUGGAGCAUGUGGUUUAAUUCGAUGCAACGCGAAGAACCUUACCAGGUCUUGACAUCCUCAGAACUUUCCAGAGAUGGAUUGGUGCCUUCGGGAACUGAGUGACAGGUGCUGCAUGGCUGUCGUCAGCUCGUGUUG
rnacentral:rRNA from 1 species